rnacentral:miRNA from 1 species
UACAGAUUGGGAAACUGAGGUG